AAUGCAGGAUUUCAGUGUACUUAAAUACAUCCGUGCUCAGGAAAAGCACCUCAUCUCUUGGGGCUUCAGACUUCCAGUCUCUGACUCUCGAGUCUCAUCUUGGAUAACAGGACUCAGUCAAAUAUGAAGAUCUUUGUCUUUGCCUUUAUCAUGGUUCUCAUGGUUGCCAUGAUCGGAGCUGAUUCGUCUGAAGAGAAAUACAGGAACUAUUUUCCUCGUCUUAAUAGGUAUCCAGCAACUUGGCCAUAUCAACCUUAUCAACCUUAUCCUUAUCCUUAUCCUUAUCCUUAUCCUUAUCCUUAUGGUCAGUAACCCCAGGACACGGUCACAAAGGCUUGGCGGAAAGUCUUAUUUUUCUCUCUUACUCAUGAUGAUUCUUCCUAUUCAGAAAUCCUUUACCCAUCUAGUCA